UUACGGUCACAUCACGUUGAAACACCGGUUCUCGUACGGUCACCGAAGUUAAGCAACGUCGAGCCUGGUCAGUACCUAAAUGGGUGACCGCUUUGGCAAUACCAGGUGUUGUAAG
rnacentral:rRNA from 1 species